AUGAACGCUGGCGGCGUGCCUAAUACAUGCAAGUCGAGCGAACAGACGAGGAGCUUGCUCCUCUGACGUUAGCGGCGGACGGGUGAGUAACACGUGGAUAACCUACCUAUAAGACUGGGAUAACUUCGGGAAACCGGAGCUAAUACCGGAUAAUAUAUUGAACCGCAUGGUUCGAUAGUGAAAGACGGUUUUGCUGUCACUUAUAGAUGGAUCCGCGCCGCAUUAGCUAGUUGGUAAGGUAACGGCUUACCAAGGCAACGAUGCGUAGCCGACCUGAGAGGGUGAUCGGCCACACUGGAACUGAGACACGGUCCAGACUCCUACGGGAGGCAGCAGUAGGGAAUCUUCCGCAAUGGGCGAAUGCCUGACGGAGCAACGCCGCGUGAGUGAUGAAGGUCUUCGGAUCGUAAAACUCUGUUAUUAGGGAAGAACAAAUGUGUAAGUAACUAUGCACGUCUUGACGGUACCUAAUCAGAAAGCCACGGCUAACUACGUG
rnacentral:rRNA from 1 species